rnacentral:rRNA from 1 species
CCUACGGGAGGCAGCAGUGGGGAAUAUUGCACAAUGGGGGAAACACUGAUGCAGCGACGCCGCGUGAGUGAAGAAGUAAUUCGUUAUGUAAAGCUCUAUCAGCAGGGAAGAAAAUGACGGUACCUGAGUAAGAAGCCCCGGCUAACUACGUGCCAGGAGCCGCGGUAAUACGUAGGGGGCAAGCGUUAUCCGGAUGUACUGGGCGUUAAGGGAGCGUAGACGGCAGUGCAAGUCUGGAGUGAAAGGCGGGGGGUCAACCCCCGGACUGCUCUGGAAACUGGACGGCUGGAGUGCAGGAGAGGUAAGUGGAAUGCCUGGUGUAGCGGUGAAAUGCGUAGAUAUUAGGAGGAACUCCAGUGGCGAAGGCAGCUUACUGGACUGUAACUGACGUUGAGGCUCGAAAGCGUGGGGAGCGAACAGGAUUAGAUACCCGAGUAGUC